CCUACGGGUGGCUGCAGUGGGGAAUAUUGGACAAUGGGGGGAACCCUGAUCCAGCCAUGCCGCGUGUGUGAAGAAGGCCCUCGGGUUGUAAAGCACUUUCAGUGAGGAAGAACGCCUGGUGGUUAAUACCCAUCAGGAAAGACAUCACUCACAGAAGAAGCACCGGCUAACUCCGUGCCAGCAGCCGCGGUAAUACGGAGGGUGCGAGCGUUAAUCGGAAUUACUGGGCGUAAAGCGCGCGUAGGUGGCUUGAUAAGCCGGUUGUGAAAGCCCCGGGCUCAACCUGGGAACGGCAUCCGGAACUGUCAAGCUAGAGUGCAGGAGAGGAAGGUAGAAUUCCCGGUGUAGCGGUGAAAUGCGUAGAGAUCGGGAGGAAUACCAGUGGCGAAGGCGGCCUUCUGGACUGACACUGACACUGAGGUGCGAAAGCGUGGGUAGCAAACAGGAUUAGAUACCUGAGUAGUC
rnacentral:rRNA from 1 species